rnacentral:rRNA from 1 species
AAGAACCCCGGGAGGGGAGUGAAAUAGAACCUGAAACCCUGCACUUACAAGCUGUGGAAGCACAUUUCUUGUGUGACCGCGUACUUUUUGUAGAACGGGCCAACGAGUUACGUUAAGUAGCAAGGUUAAGCACUUAAGGUGCGGAGCCGUAGCGAAAGCGAGUUUUAACUGAGCGUUCAGUUACUUGACGUAGACCCGAAACCGGGCGACCUACCCAUGAGCAGGAUGAAGCGAAAGUAAAAUUUCGUGGAGGUCCGAACCCACGAGCGUUGAAAAGCUCGGGGAUGACUUGUGGGUAGCGGUGAAAUUCCAAUCGAGCCCGGAGAUAGCUGGUUCUCCCCGAAAUAGCUUUAGGGCUAGCCUCAAGGUGAGAGAUACGGAGGUAGAGCACUGAAUGUCCUAGGGGGUAUUGCACCUACCGAAGACUAUCAAACUCCGAAUGCCGUCAUCUUAUACUUGGGAGUCAGACUGUGGGUGAUAAGAUUCAUAGUCGAAAGGGCAACAGCCCAGAUCGUCAGCUAAGGUCCCUAAAUGUAAGUUAAGUGGUAAAGGAUGUGGGAUUGCACAGACAACCAGGAUGUUGGCUUAGAAGCAGCCACUCAUUCAAAGAGUGCGUAAUAGCUCACUGGUCGAGUGAUCCUGCGCCGAAGAUUUCCGGGGCUAAAACUUACUACCGAAGCUACGGCAUCAGUAAUGAUGGGUAGGGGAGCUUCCCAUACGGGUUGAAGCAUGACCGUAAGGACAUGUGGACAGUAUGGGAGUGAGAAUGUUGGCAUGAGUAGCGAGAUGUGGGUGAGAAUCCCACAGGCCGUAAACCCAAGGUUUCCAGGGGAAGGUUCGUCCGCCCUGGGUUAGUCGGGACCUAAGCUGAGGCCGAAAGGCGUAGGUGAUGGACAACAGGUUGAUAUUCCUGUACUACCGAUAACCGUUUGAGAGAAGGGAUGACACAGUAGGAUAAGCUAAGCACACUGUUGGUUAUGUGUGCCCAAGCAUUGAGGCAGUCAAAGUAGGCAAAUCCGCUUUGAUAAUGCUGGGAUGUGAUGGGGAGCGAAAUUUAGUAGCGAAGUAGCUGAUUUCACACUGUCAAGAAAAGUCUCUAUCGAGGUUAAAGGUACCCGUACCGCAAACCGACACAGGUGGGUGAGGAGAGUAUCCUAAGGCCAGCGAGAGAACUGUUGUUAAGGAACUCGGCAAAAUGACCCCGUAACUUAGGGAUAAGGGGUGCCACCAUCAGGUGGCCGCAGAGAAUAGGCCCAAGCGACUGUUUACCAAAAACAUAGGUUUCUGCUAAGUCGCAAGACGAUGUAUAGGAGCUGACGCCUGCCCGGUGCUGGAAGGUUAAGGGGAUCUGUUAGAGCAAUCGAAGCAGUGAACUUAAGCCCCAGUAAACGGCGGCCGUAACUAUAACGGUCCUAAGGUAGCGAAAUUCCUUGUCGGGUAAGUUCCGACCCGCACGAAAGGCGUAACGAUUUGGGCACUGUCUCAACAACAGACUCGGUGAAAUUGUAAUUCCGGUGAAGAUGCCGGAUACCUGCGACAGGACGGAAAGACCCCAUGGAGCUUUACUGUAGCUUGACAUUGGGUCUUGGUACUACAUGUACAGGAUAGGUGGGAGGCUUUGAAACCAGGACGCCAGUUUUGGCGGAGCCAUCCUUGGGAUACCACCCUUGUAGUACUGGGACUCUAACCAUAGGCCAUGAAUCUGGUCUUGGGACACUGUCAGGUGGGCAGUUUGACUGGGGCGGUCGCCUCCCAAAAGGUAACGGAGGCGCUCAAAGGUUCUCUCAGUACGGUCGGAAAUCGUACGUAGAGUGUAAAGGCAAAAGAGAGCUUGAUUGCAAGACAUACAGGUCGAGCAAGGAUGAAAAUCGGACUUAGUGAUCCGGUGGUUCUGCGUGGAAGGGCCAUCGCUCAACGGAUAAAAGCUACCCUGGGGAUAACAGGCUUAUCUCCCCCAAGAGUCCACAUCGACGGGGAGGUUUGGCACCUCGAUGUCGGCUCAUCACAUCCUGGGGCUGUAGUAGGUCCCAAGGGUUGGGCUGUUCGCCCAUUAAAGUGGUACGCGAGCUGGGUUCAGAACGUCGUGAGACAGUUCGGUCCCUAUCCGUCGCAGGCGUAGGAAAUUUGAGAAGACCUGUCCUUAGUACGAGAGGACCGGGAUGGACGU